rnacentral:rRNA from 1 species
UACGUAGGGGGCUAGCGUUAUCCGGAAUUAUUGGGCGUAAAGCGCACGUAGGCGGUUCGUUAAGUCAGUGGUGAAAGCCCUUCGCUUAACGAAGGAACUGCCAUUGAUACUGCAAAUCUUGAGUACAUUUGAUGUGGGCGGAAUGUGUCAUGUAGCGGUGAAAUGCUUAGAUAUGACACAGAACACCGAUUGCGAAGGCAGCUCACAAAACUGUAACUGACGCUGAGGCACGAAAGCGUGGGUAUCAAACAGG